GACGAACGCUGGCGGCGUGCUUAACACAUGCAAGUCGAACGGAAAGGCCCUGCUUUUGUGGGGUGCUCGAGUGGCGAACGGGUGAGUAACACGUGAGUAACCUGCCCUUGACUUUGGGAUAACUUCAGGAAGCUGGGGCUAAUACCGGAUAGGAGCUCAUGCUGCAUGGGGGGGGUUGGAAAGUUUCGGCGGUUGGGGAUGGACUCGCGGCUUAUCAGCUUGUUGGUGGGGUAGUGGCUUACCAAGGCUUUGACGGGUAGCCGGCCUGAGAGGGUGACCGGCCACAUUGGGACUGAGAUACGGCCCAGACUCCUACGGGAGGCAGCAGUGGGGAAUAUUGCACAGUGGGCGGAAGCCUGAUGCAGCAACGCCGCGUGCGGGAUGACGGCCUUCGGGUUGUAAACCGCUUUCGCCUGUGACGAAGCGUGAGUGACGGUAAUGGGUAAAGAAGCACCGGCUAACUACGUG
rnacentral:rRNA from 1 species